UGGAGUCUGCAACUCGACUCCAUGAAGUCGGAAUCGCUAGUAAUCGUGGAUCAGAAUGCCACGGUGAAUACGUUCCCGGGCCUUGUACACACCGCCCGUCACACCAUGGGAGUGGGUUGCAAAAGAAGUAGGUAGCUUAACCUUCGGGAGGGCGCUUACCACUUUGUGAUUCAUGACUGGGGUGAAGUCGUAACAAGGUAACCGUAGGGGAACCUGCGGUUGGAUCACCUCCUUA
rnacentral:rRNA from 2 species